rnacentral:rRNA from 1 species
UACGUAGGGUGCAAGCGUUAUCCGGAAUCAUUGGGUUUAAAGGGUCCGUAGGUGGGCCGUUAAGUCAGAGGUGAAAUCCUGCAGCUCAACUGUAGAAUUGCCUUUGAUACUGGCGGCCUUGAAUUACUGUGAAGUGGUUAGAAUAUGUGGUGUAGCGGUGAAAUGCAUAGAUAUCACAUAGAAUACCGAUUGCGAAGGCAGAUCACUAACAGUACAUUGACACUGAUGGACGAAAGCGUGGGGAGCGAACAGG